rnacentral:tRNA from 1 species
GCCUUUGUGGUGUAGUGGUCAGCACACUCGACGCGUAUUCGAGAGGUCCGUGGUUCGCGUCCUGGCAAGGGUA